CGCAGCCGCGGUAAUUCCAGCUCCAAUAGCGUAUAUUAAAGUUGUUGCAGUUAAAAAGCUCGUAGUUGAAUUUCGGGAUCAAUAUGUUGGUCGUGCCUUGGUACGUACUAAUUUAUUGGUUUCUUCCUUCUGACGAACCAUGAUGUCAUUAAUUUGGUGUUAUGGGGAAUCAGGACUGUUACUUUGAAAAAAUUAGAGUGUUUAAAGCAGGCUCACGCUUGAAUACAUUAGCAUGGAAUAAUGAGAUAGGACGUUUGAUUCUAUUUUGUUGGUUUCUAGGAUCGACGUAAUGAUUAAUAGGGAUAGUUGGGGGCAUUAGUAUUCAAUUGUCAGAGGUGAAAUUCUUGGAUUUAUUGAAGACUAACUACUGCGAAAGCAUUUGCCAAGGAUGUUUUCAUUAAUCAAGAACGAAAGUUAGGGGAUCGAAGACGAUCAGAUACCGUCGUAGUACUUAACCAUAAACUAUGCCGACUAGGGAUCGGAUGAUGUUAAUUUUUAAUGACUCAUUCGGCGCCUUACG
rnacentral:rRNA from 1 species